rnacentral:rRNA from 1 species
AUUGAACGCUGGCGGCAGGCCUAACACAUGCAAGUCGAGCGGAUGAAGGGAGCUUGCUCCUGGAUUCAGCGGCGGACGGGUGAGUAAUGCCUAGGAAUCUGCCUGGUAGUGGGGGAUAACGUCCGGAAACGGGCGCUAAUACCGCAUACGUCCUGAGGGAGAAAGUGGGGGAUCUUCGGACCUCACGCUAUCAGAUGAGCCUAGGUCGGAUUAGCUAGUUGGUGGGGUAAAGGCCUACCAAGGCGAUGAUCCGUAACUAGUCUGAGAGGAUGAUCAGUCACACUGGAACUGAGACACGGUCCAGACUCCUACGGGAGGCAGCAGUGGGGAAUAUUGGACAAUGGGCGAAAGCCUGAUCCAGCCAUGCCGCGUGUGUGAAGAAGGUCUUCGGAUUGUAAAGCACUUUAAGUUGGGAGGAAGGGCAGUAAGUUAAUACCUUGCUGUUUUGACGUUACCAACAGAAUAAGCACCGGCUAACUUCGUG